AUAUAAAAGGAAAUUUUCUCUCAUUUUCUCAACUUGCCUGCGCCGUCCACGGAAAAACCCUAGUGAGACUUCCACUCCAAUCCGCCGGAAAUUGCAUAAGACCACCGAAUCGCCGACGUCAUCAACGCAAAACCCAGCCAAGACAGACUUAUCCACGCCGUUUGCAAGUUUUUAGACUCAAAGGACGACCAACUCGAAUCUCUAACCCUACCUUCCAAACCGACGUCGCCGGCACAAACCCUAACCGACGAACGCUUUGCCACGGUCACCAGAAACUAUUCGACUGAAUCCACCACGGAAUAGAUUCGCAAAUCCUAGCCCCAAUUCACGGCGUUCAGAAGCAACUCAAUUAGAUCGAAGUCGCUUUUGAUUUCAGAAUCGGAGAAAUAAUGGAAGGCAUUAGACGAUUCAAUGGUCUGUUAGAUGGUUUGGGUCCACGGUUUAAAGAUUGGUGAGGAACUGGGGUGCUUCCUGUUGAUGCUGAACAAAACCCUCCGAAUAUUCCCGGAUGCAAGACACCGUUUAGGCUUCUUCCUACUGGAAUGCGCCCACGACUAACCAAUGCUGAGAUGACCAACUUAUAGAAGCUUGCUAAGUCGCUUCCUUGCCACUUUGCCCUCGGUUACUCAAAGAGAAGUAAAAAAUGGAAAGAAAAAAGAAGAGCGGGUGGAUAUCUCAUAGUGACAACAAAGAAGGAAAUCAGCUGUGAAAGGACAAUCGAUAGGAAAAAGUGGAUGGGAGAAAGCAAUAAUCAGAGCCUGGGAGAGACGGAAAGUUUAUUGUUUGGAGAACCUGCAAAGGCCUAACACCUACCACCCAUUCAGAUGCAGAAUAUGGUCAACAAAUUCGAGGUUAAAAUUUUUAAAGAAUAAGGUAAUCUCAAAAAAUUUCUUCACCAAAAAUGAAUAAGUGGCAACAUUGGAAAGAUGAGAGGCUUCUCUUUUCCAGUGCAGUAACAUGCCUGAAAAUGUCAAUCCUGAAUUAUUAUCCAGACUAAUAGUUACAUCCAUUUUUUGCAGGUACUAAUGGAAUAAAAAAAUAGAAUAGGUUUGCAGCAUUGGAAACAUGACUUCUUGUUUGUUGUGUGUACUAACACACGCACACACCAUCCUACAUUUAAAGGAACUGUAUUCUCUGCACUUUGUGUCGAUAUUAUUAAACAAAAAAUAUAAUAAUAACACAGUCAGCAAA